GGUCUCCCUCAGACACAUAGAUUGGAAAACCUGGGAAACAUUCAAUAGCACAGAGGGUGCCAUGGCCGCCUUCACCAUCACAGCAGGGGCUCCUCCUCCAAAGACAGCUCCGGGAGAUGGUCUCCCUCAGACACAUGGAUUGGAAAACCUGGGAAACAUUCAGUAGAACAGAGGGUGCCAUGGUGGCCUUCAUCUGCACAGCAGGGGGUCCUCCUCCAAAGGCAGCUCAGCACACAUGGUCUCUCUCAGAACAUAUGGACUGGAAAACCUGGUAAACAAUCAAGAGAUCAG
ensembl:lncRNA